CCCUUUUAAAUGUUAAUUAGUUCCAUUUAUGUUUUCUGUUUUUCAAAUGCAACUGGGUAUUUUUUUUCCUCUUGGAAAAUAGUACAUAUUUUACUUUGGUAUGUAGCAAAAGGCUUCCAUUUCUGGAAGGGUUCUCUUGUUGUUCAACAAGGUCAGCCAGGUACCAGAUUCUAAAAGAACAAUUGCCCCUCCCCCCUUCUUCCCUUAAGUGGCCUUCUGACGGUAGGAGAAUGUGCUACUGCCCUGCCCGUUUCCCCUGUCCUGAGAGGCCGGUGUGAUUGAUGGAGGAAGUGCAAGGCUUGCUCUUUACCCACCCCACCCCCCAGGCGCUCUUAAAGCAGUUACAAGAUUUUCAGUCCACUGCAUACAACCCCAAUGCCCAGCACACCGGAAGUUUGUAUACUGGCCUCUUUUCAUGUCUUCAAAUGUGCAGGAAAUUCGAAAACUGUCACCUGGAAUAGGUCCCAUCUCUUCUGUGUGUUAGAUCAAACCAAAGAAGCCCCCAGCCAUGCCCAAAUGCUGCUCCAAAAGCCUGCCUUCCAGUCCUUACAAAAACCUUGCAGGAUUAAAUGUGUUAACUUUUUUAUUUUUGUACAGUUUCUAAGUGAUUUUUGCUAGUGAUGUUAAAUUGAAUUAAGUUUAUUUGAGGGGUGUGAGCACCUCCUCCAUUGAAAUAAACUGGUGACUUUCCUUUUAUUUUUUAAGAGCGGAAACCCAUUGUGUGCCUCUCGAUUUAAGGGUUUCUGAUUACAUUAUUCUUAAGACCAGCAUUGAUCCUUUAUAUACAAAGAUAUGUUUUCCUUGUUUUUUAUUACUGUUUCAGAAGAAAAUAAACCUUUUAUUUUGCUCUGGACCCAGUAACUGCGCUGGUACAUAGACGCACUGAGAAAACAAACUUUUGUAACCACCUCUGACUGUUUUUGUAUAUGAAAGUUGAUUACUUUUGAAAUAUUUGGAUCUAGUUUCUAAGUUAUUUUAGUGUUUUAUAUGUUCCCCAAAAUUACUUUGAAUCAGUCACCAGCAUAAUGAGUUCUUGGUGAUGCAGUGGUGAGACUUGUAAUGAGCAAAGCUACCUGGAGUAGCUCUCUCGUCCUCCCUUUCUUAGUACCCUGUUUUUUGAUUACAGUAAGACAUCACCAAUUAUCUGUAACCCCUUCAAGUAUAACUAGAUCCUCCUUCCUUCCACAUUUAAUUGCUUAAUAGUUUGAAGAAACUAUUGGAAAUGGGCAUUUUAUAUGACAUGUAUGGCUUUAAAAUAUUAUAAAUGAAGAAAAAGAAAAAUGAGAAGGUUUAUGUGGGUCUGUAAGGUAUGGCUGUGGAAAGAUAUUGUAGUAGUUUUGACACUAUUGUUAUUACCUUUAAAAUCAUUUACCCAAUAAAAUGUUAAAACUG
rnacentral:lncRNA from 1 species